rnacentral:lncRNA from 1 species
CUUUCAUCAGCCGCAGGAGGCAUUUGAGGAUGCUGGCUGGCUCGGAGUGCGUGCACUCAGCACAGGAGGAAGUGACCCCUGGUGGCAGCUGUGCAAUCGGCCACCCCUCUUCAGAGGCGGCGCUCAAGUCUUCCGACCAGCCUGUGCCGCUGGUGGAUAGAAUGUGGCAGAGGCGAUUGUGACUUCCGGACGUAGGUCACAAAAGGCUGCGCGGUUCCUUCUAGGUUCUCGUCCUAUUGGUUGUGCAAGCCGGCGCUGCGGCAGCCCCAUGGGUAGGCGCGGGCUGUGAGGCACGAAGUCUCCGCAGCACCCCAGGACCGAGGCUUCCUCUCAGUCAUGUGAAUGAACCACCUGGUAACAGAUCUCCAGCCUCAGUCAAGCCCGCAAAUGUCUGCCGCUCCCGGGGACACCUCCACGCACCAGCUAACCUGUUCCAACGUUCCUGGGCCUCAGAGAUCGUGAGCUUAGAGAUGUUCAUUAGUUUUUACUUCUUCUUCUUCUUAUUUUCUUUUCUUUUUUUCUUUGUGAGCUGGAAGUGGUGGUUCAUGACUGUAACCCCAGCGCACAGGAGGCUGAGGCAAGAGGAUCGCCACAAGUUGGAACCCAGCCUGACCUACAUACUGAGACCCAGUCUCAGAGAGACAGAGAGAGAGAGAGAGAAAAAGAGGUUGUUCACAAAACUGAGCUUCACUUCGAGUGCAAAAGCUUCACGAUACCUUUCAUGCUAUCUGCAGCUUUUCCUUCAUUAAGCUU